UACGGGGGGUGCAAGCGUUGCUCGGAAUUACUGGGCGUAAAGCGUACGCAGGCGGCUUGGCAAGUCGGGUGUGAAACCCCGGGGCUCAACCCCGGACGUGCAUCCGAGACUGCUGGGCUUGAGUGCGGGAGAGGGAAGCGGAAUUCCUGGUGUAGAGGUGAAAUUCGUAGAUAUCAGGAGGAACACCGGUGGCGAAAGCGGCUUCCUGGCCCGAUACUGACGCUCAUGUACGAAAGCGUGGGGAGCAAACAGG
rnacentral:rRNA from 1 species